UCUAAAAUUACGAAAUGCCCUUCUCCCUCCAUCGCGCCACGUGGCCUCCCGCCACUCCACUCCUCAUCCGAUCCCCCUCCACUCGCCGACCUCUUCCCGUCUCGCCGCCCCUCCUUCCCCUCCGCCGCCGCUUCUCCUCCCGGAGCUCCGGCAAGACGGAGGGCCCCUCCUCCGGGUCCCCUUCGUUCGACUCCGUCGCAUUCGAGUCCGAUCGCCUCCGCCUCGAUGCAGAGGCACGGGCAUCCAUGGCCGCCGCCGCCGCUGCCGCAGCUGAUCCGAAGGCGUGGAAAUGGAGGAUCAGGAAACGAGUUUGGGAUCUAAUGGAGGCGGAGGGCAUUGCGCGUAACCCUCGCCCCGUCCAUCACCGCAUCCCUAACUUCGAUGGUGCCAUCGCCGCCGCGGAUUUGCUAGGAGGAUUGGAUGCAUUCCAAAAGGCACAAUGCGUGAAGGUUAAUCCUGAUUCGCCUCAGAAGCACAUCCGGUUCUUAACACUUGCAGGUGGGAAGAAGUUAUUGACCCCUCAGCCACGGUUAAGAACUGGAUUCUUUUCAGUCUUAGAUUCUCGGAUGUUGCCUCCUGGCAGAAUAAAUGAGGGAUGCACUUCUGUUGGGGUUGCAAAAUAUGGUAAACCGAUAGAUCUUGAUGUGAAAAUUAAGGUGGAUCUGAUUGUUAUUGGCUCAGUUGCUGUUGAUCCACGAACAGGUGCACGGCUAGGGAAGGGUGAGGGCUUUGCAGAACUUGAGUAUGGGAUGCUACGAUACAUGGGAGCUAUAGAUGACUCAACUUUGGUGGUAACAACUGUGCAUGAUAAGCAAUUGGUGGAUGAUAUCCCACUUGAGAAGCUUUUAAUUCAUGAUGUCCCGGUUGACAUUAUCUGCACUCCAACACAAGUCAUCUUGACAAACACCUCAAUUCCCAAACCUCAAGGAAUCUACUGGGAGAAAUUGUCGCCAGAGAAACUUGGACAGAUUCGAAUACUCAGAGAACUGAAGAAACGAAUUGAGCAACAGACUGGACAGGCGCUUCCUUGUGGACCUUCAGAGAAGCUGCCCCCAACUGCUCAAAGAAGACGAUGAUCAUAAGUUGAUAAUUUAUCUGCAGGUAUGGCAGUGAGAAAUAACUAGUUUGUUUGAUGAUCACUUUUGGCUUCUAUGUUAUGUAUGAAAUGCAGAAGGUUAGAUCAAAAGAAUGGUUUACAAAGCAAUACUGAAUCUCAUGUUUCUCUCAAUCAUGUGAAGAUAGCAUACAGGUAUGAAACAUACAAUGCCAAUCAAUAGUAACAUUACUGCUUAUUUCUUCACAAUUUAUAUGGCAUGUGGGGUAUCCAUAAGGGAUUUCCUCACUUUUAAACCAAGUAAUAAUAAUAAAUAAAAUCUUGGUACUACUGUGACCACAGUAUGUUAAUGAUGUUAUCUUGGAUUGAAAUUGUGGUAUUAGCCUAUUAGGUAUGUUUAUGAUGUUACCUGCAGUCUCUUAAGGCUCACAUCUAAAAUAUUUAUGACUCAAAAACCCAAUUUUUAAUUGGGCUCAACUUACAAUGGUUGGAUAGCCUUCACUAGCAUUGUAUUCUUAAAAGUUUUAAAAUUUUCCAGUGCCUGCCCUGAUAAUUUAUGCAAACACAACAAAUGGAAAUGCUUGCUUUCGUUGAUGUAUAUUACUGAUUUAAUUAGUGAAAAUGUUUUUAAUGUGGUGAUCGGUUGGAGAUAAUUGACAAUAAUUCGAAUAUGAAUUUGCUA